CAAAGCACAGUUCCGGCGCAGCUCUGCGGCUGUGCAGCGGCGCUCUGCACAGACUGCGCACGCACGGCUCGGCGGCGGCGCCCGUUGAUUGGCGGCGCAGCCGCACACCAGCAGCAACGGCUCUCCACGUGGCUCCCGGUGCUUCACGAGUGUUUCAGAAUCAAAGAUGGCAUGAGCUGGAGAGCCAGAGCGCAUACUGAAAGCCAGGCAGAUAUUGGUCCAAAAUAAUCAAGACAAAUGCCUGAAGUCAUGAUUAACAAGGUUGCUGGUGACAUUCAGAUGAUCCAGGUGACUACAUCCUGCAUCACAAGCAGUGAAUGGACACAGGAUUUUCACGUUCAAUGAAAAAGAAUAAGCACCCAUAAGAUGUUAACUCCAGAUUUAGUGAUAACUGAAGAUGGAAGGGUACUUCAUCUUUUUAUGAUUAAUUAUGGACAGAUUGAGAACCAGGAAACUGCUCUGAUAAGCUGCUUGGGCCAUGAGGAAAGAGAAUCUACCCAGAAAUGCCCAGAUGCCAGCUUCGCUGGAGGCAUUGACCCCAGGGAACCAACUUAAGGCAAAGCAACAUGAAGAUGGAAGCAACACUAAAGAGGCUAAAAGACUGUCUGCUUCACAUCUUAAUUGCUUGAGCUAUUAAACAAACACAUCUGGUGUU